CGAGGGAAAGCUCGUCAGGGUUUGGGGCCACCAGGAAAUCCAGCUUUUCCCGGAGUGCCCAGUGAAUGAAAAGGCAUCCACUACAUUCAGCUUAUCUUCAGGACCUGAAGUGUGAGAUACAAGGACAACGGUGCCUGGCACAUGGCUAUGCUUCUUCUCUAUGAAGACCACGUUGAAGAAUUCUCCUCACUGUUGUACAGUUGGGUUGGCUCUUCCUGCUUCCUGGACAACGUUCUUUCACGUGGCUACCUGUCAAAAGUUCAACUUCACUCCAUCAGGCAGAAGAACACACUCAAUUCAGAUAGGAGCUCCUGGACACCAGAAACAUCUCAUUCCAAGCAGCAUCCC